UCGAGAAUCUUCCGCAAUGGGCGAAAGCCUGACGGAGCGACAUUUCGUGAAUGAUGAAGCCCUUCGGGGUGUAAAGUUCUUUUAUGGGGGAAAAACGUAAGUGAUUGUACCUCAUGAAUAAGAGGAUCCUAAUUCUGUGCCAGCAGGAGCGGUAAGACAGAAUCCUCGAGCGUUACCCGGAUUUAUUGGGCGUAAAGGGUUCGUAGGUGGUAGGGUAAGUUGAAAGUUAAAAUUUGUCGGCUCAACCUUCAAAGUGCUUUCAAUACUGCCAUACUAAGAGGGCGUUAGGGGCAAACGGAACCGACGGAGUAGGGGUGAAAUCCGUUGAUAUCGUCGGGAACACCAAAAGCGAAGGCAGUUUGCUAAGACGACCCUGACACUGAGGAACGAAAGCGUGGGGAUCAAAAAGG
rnacentral:rRNA from 1 species